GCUGGCAGCCUGGAGCUUCGCUGGGCACUGGUGCUUUGUUUUCUCAGCUGCUGCCUCUGCCCUCACUGCUGCCACUUACUGAUAGCAGAGUUUGCAUUAGCAGGUGCAACUCUGGGAUAUUCAAUUACCUAUAAAGAGCUGUAGCAACGCCAAGGCAUUGCUGGAGGCAUCAAGGCCGGUGGUUUCAGGGUUUUUUUCCUUGGUUUCGGGUGCUUUGUUUUGGUUUUUACCUUGCAUUUAAAGGAGAUGUGAGGAUGGGUAAAGUGGCACGGACUGAAUAAAAACCAUAAGUAAAAAGUGGAGUAAAGAGAGGGAGAAAUAAAUAAAUAAUCCUGUUUAUUAAAUGAAACAGCUGGGUAGGAAAAAAAAUGAUCUCCGGGAAGAAAGCAGCUCCCUGGGCUAUUUUUAGCUCUUUUGUUUCUCCCCCCCUUUCCACCCCCACCCUCCUUGCACAGUCUGAGGGUUUGGUGCGUGUCAAUCCUGCUGUUCUCCCUCACCUCCUGAGUGCCAGGUGAUGUGCUCUUUUCUUAUUUUCUUUCUUGGUUUUUUUUGUUGUUUUUUUUUUCUUUUUCUGCAUCUUAUUUCUAGCACGGAGCUGGGGGGAAGGGCAGCGGCAUCAGGAGAGGCCGUGCAGGCAUCGCCCCCGGUCCUGGCAGGGGAAAGGAGGGGGCAGCAGGGCCUGAGCCUCUCCUGCAGCAUCGGGGGCUGGACAUGGACCCUCCCUCUGCUCCUCAGCAUCUUCAGGAGCUGCUGCAGCCCCCCCGAAAUUCCCUUUGCCUGGAUCCUGGGGGGCUCCCAGCAGCUCCAGGGCAGCGACCACGUUUGGUGUCUCCUCUCAGCUCUUGCACCAGUGGUGCUGGAGGAGGAUUUCCACCAAUUCUUUCCCUCUCUAGGCACCAUCAUUCCUAAACCCAUCCCAGUGAAGCUCUCUGCUACCCCCAGGCACUCAGCCCUGCAACCUUCCCCUUUCCCAUCCCUCCCACCUCCCACACCUCCCACCACAUCUCCUGGAUGCUGCUGCUGCCCCAAGGCCCCUCUGCCUCAUCUCCUCUGCCACCAGCUCCCCCUCAUCGAGAAUCCUCGUGGGCUCCCAUCUUUGUGCCGUUAUGGAAGAAAUACAUAAUUCUUUUAUUAUUCAAUUAGGAGUUUAACACACAAUCAGGUGAUCGCUUUAAGAGGAUUUCCUAUAAGGCAAGAUUUGAAUAACGGGGCUAUGAGUAAUAUAUUCCCUUAACUGGUUUAUUCCUUUAUCAGAUUUUUUUUUCCCCCUAAGCACUUUAAUGCAUUUACUUUCCCAUUGUCGACACUUUUCUCUGGCUCUUCCUCCCUCCCCGAGCUUAUGCAAAUCCCCGUAAGGCGUUUAAUGCUCCGUGUGUGUCAAUAGUGCCCAAAUCUUCACCACAGCAUUAGGCUUCAUGCAUGCCCCGCCUGAUUAAGAGGGGUGGUGGGGCCAGCCUGGCUGCCCAAACCUCCUUCCAACCCCCACCGUGGGGCCUCUGUGCUGGGAGCUGCAUUUUUCCAGAGAAAAGGCUGGAGCUGAAAGUGGCUUUUCUUUGCAGGGUGAAUGGGGAGCGCCAGGCUGACCUGUCCACUGCUGUUUGCUGCCCUGUCGCUCAGAUUUCGGCUGUGUGGAGGUGAUGGCUGUGGGUGGGAUGUGAGCAGAGAAGGAAAAGGAAGGAGCAAUGAUUAAUAAAACCUGACUCGGCUGGAAGGGCAAGGAAAAAACAACAAUACAGGACAUUUCUGGAGAUCGUCCUAAUCCAGCACCUUGGAGCCAAAUGAAUCAGCAGCUUCUUAUUCUGCCAGCAGGAUUAGUCAAUGUUCAUCCAGGCUCCUGGGAAGUGAGGUGUUUGGUUGUGGCUUGGAGAACCCCACGUCCACUUGGGAGCUGAGGUUGUCUCUAAAGGACCAGCCCUGCUUCUGCUCCUGGGGCUUUGGAAAGGGGAGAAGAGCUCCUGGGGGGAAUCCCUGUGGUGAGUAAUGCUGCCUGGCGAGCGCCGGGAAAAGGCGGGUGCACAUAUGCUGCAGCUCAUCCUGCUCUUUUCCUGGAGAACUCUCCCUGUCUGGGUGCCAACCAGCGGCAGACACGGCCAGGGAACCCCCACCACACUCACCCCCUGCUUUGUUUUCACAUUUCCAAGGUUUCUGGAAGAGGGUGAUGGAGUCUGGUGUAGAGCAAGGGGAUGUAACUCAAGGGGAGUGAGGUGCUUUGAGAUUUUAUAAUGAUACUAUGAAAUUAGAGCUGAACAAAUGUGCCAAAGCAAACAACCCAAAGAGCAAACAGCCCAAAGAGCAAACAGCCCCAAAAAUCCCCUUUGCACCAGAGGGCCGAGCUGUGCAGGUGCUCAGCUCAGAGGGGAGCAGGGAAGGCUGAGCCCCAGCUCCAGGCUGUGCUUGGCACAGCAGUCAGAUGCACUUUGAGCCAAACUCUGGCUAUUUCAGACCAGGAGACAAGAUGGAAAUUUCCACCUGGCCUGUUUUCUUGCCU